CAUUGUCACUGAAGAAACAGCUGAUGUCGGCUUACAAUCUGGAGUCCAUCAAGGCUGUUGCAUGGGGUAUCACUCAUGAAGAUGAUGCUUUGAGAAAGUAUGAAAAAGGACUUUGAUGCAGCUGUAGAGCAGUCAGGAUAUGGUUGCAUGAAUCUGGAGUGUUGGGAGCUUCACCUGAUGGCUUAGUUGUUCGACCACCAACAUGCAGUGUAUUUUAUCAAACUCCAGAAGCCAAAGACGCCAUUCCUGAUAUUGUAGAGGUGAAGUGUCCAUACACAGCAUCGUCUUCAACAGUAGCAGAUGGGGCACAAAAUUUGAAGGAUUUUUCAUAGAUCUUAAACAAGAUACCCUGUGCCUGAAAACCAGUCACCCAUACUAUCAUCAAAUUCAAGGCCAGCUACACAUAUGUAACAAAACAUUCUGCGACUUAAUUAUGUGGACAAGAGUAGACUGCAUUGUGAUUAGAAUAGUAAAAGACAUUGAAUGGACAGCAAAUGUUCCAAAGCUGAUAGAUUUCUACAUUAACAUUUUCAUUCCAGCACUGAUGGAAAACUGAGUUCUAGUUUGAACUUCUUGACACUUAGUUUUGUACCUCUAGAAUUUUCUAACAAUGGAAAAUGGGUAAUCAUGUUAAAUGUGUUGAAUGUUCCUAAGUCUCAUAAAUGUAUGAUAUGAUAUGUCAUAAUCCAUCAUAAAACUUCUGGCUUAUAAGACUAUUUUAAAUAGCAAUGAUGAUUAAUAAAAUCUAUGUACUACAUAAAAAAAGAAUAUCAAAAUUUAGAAUCAUUUUAUUAAUGAAUUGAAGAUGUUAUUCUCAAAGUGAAAAUGUAACAUUUUUGUCUUUCUUAAUAGAUAAAUUGUUGAAAACAUGAA